rnacentral:rRNA from 1 species
CCCUUAGAUGUUCUGGGCGGCCCGCGCACUACAAUGGCGUGUGCAGCGAGUGCCGAAGUAGAGUUUUCCGAGGUAUUCUUGCAAUGCUCGUUUUGAUGGGGAUAGACCCUUGCAACUGUUGGUUUUGAACGAGGAAUUCCUUGUAAGCAUGGUUUAUCAUCCGACGCUGAAUGCGUCCCUGCCCUUUGUACACACCGCCCGUCGCUCCUACCGAUGAGUCGUCCGGUGAAGUUCGUAGACCUCGUGAUCGCGGAUCACUGGGGGAAGCAAAAUGAACCUCGCGGUUUAGAGGAAGGGGAAGUCGUAACA